rnacentral:lncRNA from 1 species
UUUUUCGCUUUCCUUCUAAGGCAGCCGCCGCUCUUCCCAUCUUUGCAGAAGGUGAGAUUAACCCAUUAGAAAGUCUCCUGGUUGGUGGUGGAGGAAUCAAGCUCCUGCAUUGAUUUACAUAGCAACAGGUUAGUCAUAAAUGUGGAUAAACACCAGAAUGCAUGUUAUUUCAUUUGACAUAUUUGGUUGGUUCUCUUCCUUGAGUUGGCAUAUAGAAAAGCUAAAGGUUUAGAAAGCAUGUGUCCACUGACAAUUAUUCAUGUUGCAGACCUAAUAAACAGAUAAAAGUGUUCAGUUUACGCUUUUAGAUGAGAAAGACACAGACUUAAUGGAGAAUGGAUAAAGAUGAGGCACACC